UGGACCAAACAGCAUCAGCCAAUGCGCUCAAACUACCCCUGCUAAGUGGUGGACUUCACCUGCAUACAGUGAGUUGAAUGACAUGCAGAAGGGUCAGCUGAACUGGGUCAGACAGAACUUCAUGAUAUAUGAUUACUGCAAAGAUGCAAAGAAAUUCAAAGGGCAAGUCCACCCUGAGUGUUCUCUGCCACAAUUUUAAUGGAUGAUUUGAUUUUAUAAUGAAGUGGUUGUGAUGGUACAAGUGACAAGGUAAAUAAGCCUGUGUUGUUUUAGUUGAUUUCGUUCUUUAGCUGUGAACUGAAGAAUAAACAAUAUGAGGGUCUGUGUUCCAAGGAUGACCAGUAAUUCUCAAUUCUUAGGUCACAGGCCUAUUGUAUCCCUUUUCUCGGGAACCGAGUUUAAUUUUGAGUUUCACUUUGUAUCUGAUACAUUUUCUUGUUGCAUGAAAUAAGCAGCAUAUGAGCCGCAAGCAUUUAAGCAGUGUAUUAUUUUUUUUCGGUGUUCAAAGAAAAUAUUCUUUCAAUUUAUGAGUUCUUCCAUCCCAUGGACAGGAUUUCUUAAAACUAGGUAAUAUCGAGAUUAUGAGUGGAGAUGUUAAAAUCACAACAACCAAUAACAAUGACAGGAUAUAUUUACCUGCUUAAAAGACAGAGAUUUCUUAGAUUUCCUUCUUUGUAUUAAACAACCAAAAGAUGUAACAAUGAGAAGAUCAUGCAGGAAACGAUAUUAAGAUCAUCUGAGAUUUGGUGAGAAAAAGGCAAAUAUUGUAAUGUUCACACUUCAAAAUGUGCCAAGCAAAGAAAGUUAGAGGGGAGUAUUCUCUUGACAUGGAAAAGCAAAAUUCAAAGAGAAAAUAUUAGGAGGAAAAGGAGGAUCUUGAUUAAACCUAACAAGUGAAAUAUUCACAAUUCUUAUCUAUUUCUCCAUUGAAUUGCUUCCCCUUAUGUUUCUUGACAGCCGGAUAGCGUCUAGAGGGAAAAGGGGAAAAGAUCAGCCACCCAAAACUACACCCGGUGACACACUCCAUUUCAACAUGUGAGGCAACCAUAUCAAUACAUAUCUCAUGUAGCAAUAUUGGUUUAUGAUAGGAAUUAGAAUUAGAAUGGUUAGAAUCGGAAUCAAAAUGGCCAUAUCCUCUUAUGCAUUUAGUUCGUGAUCACAAUCAAAACCGGAAUUGGAAUGGGAUUUAAAUACUAGGAAAGAGCAGGAAUUGGAUUUUGCAGUAUUUGGAUGUCUUAUUUCUUCCUGAAACUGGAAUAGAAAUGGGAUUCUCUCCAAACAAACGGCUGGAAUAGGAGCCACUUAUUCCAUCCCUAUUCUAGAGUCCAACUCCUUCCAAUCAAAUAUUCAAAUUUCAAAAUUAUUCAAAUUCCUUACUUACAUAAAAGCCAAAAAAAAAAUCAUAUAAAAAAUCAGUUGGAUGUCUUUAUCUCAGGAGAGUAUAAUUAUGAUUAAACGUGGAUCAGGGAAUUAACUGCUUAGAAUAUAAAAACAUAUAGAUCAUAAUGCAAAAAGACUCACACAAACACUUAGGUGUCACUAAACCAGAAGCCAUUGUCUUUUAUUUGCAAGCAUUCAUUGCGACGGAAGACAUAUCUAUUUAGUACGUGAACGAGACAGGCGUGAAGAUUGAAUCUGAAGAAUAAAAAUGAAAAUAUUUAGGGAAUGAUGGAAGAAUAUAUACCUUAAACAACUACCAUAGAUCGCGUCCAAUAUAACGCCAGUGGGCUUCAAGAACUCCAUCAGAAAAAAAAAAAAAAAAAGGUAAAGAUUAGUUUUUGAUGCCGUAGAUUGAAGAAGGGAAGGGAAAAAAGGAGGCGGCUUUAGGAUUGGGGUGGGGAAGCAAUCGGUUGGGCGAAUGACGGAAAGGAUGGCGGACGAAAAACUUAGCCUGGAGGGAGUCUUCGCUGGAGGGAAGGCGGUGGAGAAGGCAGCGAUUUGUUGCGGGAGACGUGGGUCAUCGGUUCAGGUUGCCGACUCCGG
rnacentral:lncRNA from 1 species